rnacentral:rRNA from 1 species
CCGUGCGGCGUGCUUACACCCUGCCAGGUUAAACGGUGAAAGGGGAGCUUGCUCCCCUGGAUCAGUGGCGAACGGGUGAGUAACACGUGGGCAAUCUGCCCCAGACUCUGGGAUAACUCCUCGAAAGAGGUGCUAAUACCGGAUACGAGCCCUGCAGGCAUCUGCGGGGUUGGAAAGUUUUUUCGGUCUGGGAUGGGCCCGCGGCCUAUCAGCUAGUUGGUGAGGUAGUGGCUCACCAAGGCGACGACGGGUAGCCGGCCUGAGAGGGCGACCGGCCACACUGGGACUGAGACACGGCCCAGACUCCUACGGGAGGCAGCAGUGGGGAAUAUUGCGCAAUGGGCGAAAGCCUGACGCAGCAACGCCGCGUGCGGGAUGACGGCCUUCGGGUUGUAAACCGCUUUCAGCAGGGAAGAAGCGAAAGUGACGGUACCUGCAGAAGAAGCACCGGCUAACUACGUGCCAGCAGCCGCGGUAAUACGUAGGGUGCAAGCGUUGUCCGGAUUUAUUGGGCGUAAAGAGCUCGUAGGCGGUUAGUCACGUCGGAUGUGAAAACCCAGUGCUUAACACUGGGCCUGCAUUCGAUACGGGCUGACUAGAGUGUUGUAGGGGAGACUGGAACUCCUGGUGUAGCGGUGAAAUGCGCAGAUAUCAGGAAGAACACCGGUGGCGAAGGCGGGUCUCUGGGCAACUACUGACGCUGAGGAGCGAAAGCGUGGGGAGCAAAC